UACGGGGGGGGGCAAGCGUUGUUCGGAAUUACUGGGCGUAAAGGGCGCGUAGGCGGCCUGCUAAGUCAUACGUGAAAUCCCUCGGCUCAACCGAGGAACUGCGUCUGAUACUGGUUGGCUUGAAUUCGGGAGAGGGAUGCGGAAUUCCAGGUGUAGCGGUGAAAUGCGUAGAUAUCUGGAGGAACACCGGUGGCGAAGGCGGCAUCCUGGACCGAGAUUGACGCUGAUGCGCGAAAGCCAGGGGAGCAAACGGG
rnacentral:rRNA from 1 species